ACUCCGUACGGGAGGCAGCUAGUGGGGAACUAUUGCACAAUGGGCGCAAGCCUGAUGCAGGCCAUGCCGCGUGUGUGAAGAAGGCCUUCGGGUUGUAAAGCACUUUUCAGUCGUGAGGAAGGUAGUGUACGUUAAUAGCUGCAUUAUUUGACGUUAGCGACAGAAGAAGCACCGGCUAACUCCGUGCCAGCAGCCGCGGUAAUACGGAGGGUGCGAGCGUUAAUCGGAAUUACUGGGCGUAAAGCGCAUGCAGGUGGUUUGUUAAGUCAGAUGUGAAAGCCCGGGGCUCAACCUCGGAUAGCAUUUGAAACUGGCAGACUAGAGUACUGUAGAGGGGGGUAGAUUUCAGGUGUAGCGGUGAAAUGCGUAGAGAUCUGAAGGAAUACCGGU
rnacentral:rRNA from 1 species